UUUCUUUGUAGCAUAACUGCUGUCUGAACUCACGUCAGUGUAAUAUCACUUUGAGUGCUGCCCAGCUCGCCUUCGGGUUCCGUACUUGCCACAGGAAGACAUCAUCAGAGAGUGAAAUGGUGCAGGGAACGAGUCAGUUUGAACCUAUCCUCAUGAACAGCUCAGGAAAGGAUAUUGCCUCAAGGAAGGCAAGCUAUGAAGCUGUGCAGAAGCAGGCACAGCAGAGCAGGACCACAACACCAGGAAGCAGCAAACCACAGACAAACCAGGCAUCAAAUCCAUGGGGUCCUGUUUUUAAGAACAAAUCACAUUUUGUUGACAUGCACAUCUGUUAAAAUCAUAUGUAUUAUCAGAAAAAACUUUCAAAAUAACUACAAUGUUAAAUAGCUAA